rnacentral:rRNA from 1 species
UACGGAGGGUGCAAGCGUUGUCCGGAUUUACUGGGUUUAAAGGGCGCGUAGGUGGACAGGAAAGUCAGUGGUGAAAUCUUCGAGCUUAACUCGGAAACUGCCAUUGAUACUAUUUGUCUUGAAUACUUUGGAGGUAAGCGGAAUAUGUCAUGUAGCGGUGAAAUGCGUAGAUAUGACAAAGAACACCAAUGGCGAAGGCAGCUUACUGGACAGUUAUUGACACUGAGGCGCGAAAGCGUGGGGAGCAAACAGG